GAUGAACGCUGGCGGCGUGCCUAAUACAUGCAAGUCGAGCGAACAGAUGAGGAGCUUGCUCCUCUGACGUUAGCGGCGGACGGGUGAGUAACACGUGGAUAACCUACCUAUAAGACUGGGAUAACUUCGGGAAACCGGAGCUAAUACCGGAUAAUAUAUUGAACCGCAUGGUUCAAUAGUGAAAGACGGUUUUGCUGUCACUUAUAGAUGGAUCCGCGCCGCAUUAGCUAGUUGGUAAGGUAACGGCUUACCAAGGGAACGAUGCGUAGCCGACCUGAGAGGGUGAUCGGCCACACUGGUACUGAGACACGGUCCAGACUCCUACGGGAGGCAGCAGUAGGGAAUCUUCCGCAAUGGGCGAAAGCCUGACGGAGCAACGCCGCGUGAGUGAUGAAGGUCUUCGGAUCGUAAAACUCUGUUAUUAGGGAAGAACAAAUGUGUAAGUAACUAUGCACGUCUUGACGGUACCUAAUCAGAAAGCCACGGCUAACUACGUG
rnacentral:rRNA from 1 species